rnacentral:rRNA from 1 species
AUUGAACGCUGGCGGCAUGCCUUACACAUGCAAGUCGAACGGCAGCGCGGACUUCGGUCUGGCGGCGAGUGGCGAACGGGUGAGUAAUACAUCGGAACGUACCCUGUUGUGGGGGAUAACUAGUCGAAAGAUUAGCUAAUACCGCAUACGUCCUGAGGGUGAAAGUGGGGGACCGCAAGGCCUCACGCAGCAGGAGCGGCCGAUGUCUGAUUAGCUAGUUGGUGGGGUAAAGGCCCACCAAGGCGACGGUCAGGAGCUGGUCUGAGAGGACGAUCAGCCACACUGGGACUGAGACACGGCCCAGACUCCUACGGGAGGCAGCAGUGGGGAAUUUUGGACAAGGGGGGCAACCCUGAUCCAGCAAUGCCCCGUGUGUGAAGAAGGCCUUCGGGUUGUAAAGCACUUUUGUCCGGAAAGAAAUCGCGCUGGUUAAUACCUGGCGUGGAUGACGGUACCGGAAGAAUAAGCACCGGCUAACUACGUGCCAGCCGCCGCCGUAA